ensembl:lncRNA
CGCGGUCCGGGAAGUGCCCCUCCGGAAUACGGAAGGAUGGGGGGAAAAGGACAAGAAGAAGAAAAAGAAAAAGAAGAAGAAAAAGAAGAAGAAAAAGAAAAAGGCGUGAAAAGGCGCGGGGGGGGAAGGGGGAUGAGGGGGGUGGAGGCAGGCAGCAUGCAUGUGGGGGCCGAGGGGAGCCCCAGGAAAGGGCGACCCGGGGGCUCUGGGGAACCCGUGCGGCUCUGAUCGUGUGCGUCAAUCCCUGCCUUCACCCAGCGGGCCCUGCCCGCCCCCCGCACCGUGCCCCCAGCCCUCUCCCCGUGGGGCGGCCCCCGGGGCUGUGGCCGCGUUCUCCCGCACGCCGCAAUUAGAGCGCUUCUUGGAGAGCCCCGGAGAGCCCUCGGCAGCCGCUCCGCUCUCCUCUCCCGGGCGGCCGCUCUGCGUGUGGCUCUACCCGGGCGGCUGUGGCUGCGGGGAUAGCGUUCCUGUCCGCCACCCGAAUUUUAAUAUCAAUUUCCAUAUUAAUCGAUCACCCCAUCUAUCUGCUGGAUGAAGGAAAUAGUUGGCAUUCCGAAGAAAAUUGCCUGCUUUCCUGCGGUUAAUAGUUAACUCCGGAAUAGAAAGUUCCCAGGGAAAUGCGGAGGCAGAGCGGGAGCGGCCCCGCCUGCGAUCGGGCGGCAAAACCCUCCCGGGAUCCCCAGAGCCUCCCAGGCACCCUCCCGAGCCCCCCCGGGCCUCCGCUCCAGGCCCAGGCCCCACGUCCCCCUCUUCAGGCAAUAGCCGGGACCGAUGUUGUAAGGAGCAAAGUCCCGAGGGGAUGCGGGCGGGAGGUGUCGGGCUCCUUCCCCGUAGAUGGAACAGCAGUGACCGCAACAGACGGCUCGGGCACAUUUAGAGGUGCACCUGUGCGGAGACUCGGAGGAGAACGCUCCCGCACCCUCCUGCGCAAAUAGAGCACGCUGCCGCGGUGCCCCAGGCGGUCCCGGGCCCCGCACCCCUCCGCCAGGUGAUGCUGCUCAGGACGCCGCCCAUCGCUUCGCACCCUC